rnacentral:lncRNA from 1 species
CUCUAAUUUUCUCAGGGAACUACCUUGACCAUCAAAGAGCCGUCACUAGUACAACUCCAAAUGGUCCUUCUCAUGGCCGAAAAAAGUUAGAGCCAGUAGGAACAUCCAAGCGCCACCGCUUUGUCUGUAUUCGAUUUCUUUCUACCCCACAACUAGCGUCGUCUGUUGAAAAUCGAGUCCAGACACGACAAAGUUAGUUCCGAUGGUGUCUAAAAGAAACAACAACGGUAGACGCAGCUAGGAAGCCAUGGGGAAGUCCCCUUUUGUGCUAAGAACACCAGCAGAGAAGGUACUAGGGCUCUUAGGUGCUGCUCAGAGGGUGGCCUUGGGCCCCUCUAGGCAAAGAGCAAAGCAGCCAAACUGCAUCGGCGGUGAAGAUCACCGAGACGAAGCCAAGGAAGAAGAGAUGGAAGAGAUGAGGCAAAUACUAGCUGCCAAUAACUCAAAGUUGCCUAUUAAUAGAGUAAACAAGUCAUUCUCCAAGGUUCGAAUGGUUGGGCAAAAUGCCUUACCUUAGGGCGGUACUAAGAGAAAAAAGGCUCACAUACAUUAUGACGAGGAAAAAAUCAUAGCGACAGCCGAACUGUAGCUUAUGGCAAGUGAAAGGAUCCACCGAUUUAAGUUAUUUCAAAUGUGGCCCUUUGUUAUGUGCUGAUAGCCAAACAAACUACGAAAGAAAGAGAUUUACAGCCGCUGCGGUGAGGUUGGUGGCACGUAUCCUGAGAUCGAUUCACACAGAAUAACUACUCCCAAGGUACCAAACUUUUUUCAGAUUCGAGAUCGAGGGAAUGCAACCACUAGAGAAGUUCAUCCCACUCACAUUCACCAUUUACGACAAAAAGUUGGAUCCAAGGCUGCACAUCAGCCAUUAUUUCCAUAUUAUGGCACUGUGGAGCCACAUUGACACUGAUGUGCAAAGUGUUUCCCUCAAGCCUAGGAGACCUCGAGUCGAGGUGGUUCAAAAAGAUUCCCCCAAUCUCCAUAGGGGAUUUCGUUCAAUGAAAUCGACGAAUGUUUGGAGGAACUAGAGGUAGUUAGCUACAAGCUCGAACUUAUGUCCAGAGAAAAACUAUGGGAUGAUUUAACGCUUGAACCAUCUUUCGAGUUCUAUGAUCUGAUUUCCUGAGUGAAGAUAUAUGCUCAGUUAAAGGAUGGUGCGAGGCUCAUGGAGCACCAAGGAUUGGCGUUAUCCCAAGGUGAAAGCUCAUUCAAAUACCAUAAGGAAAGUGCGAAAGAACAUUAAGGACGAAUCAGACAAGAAACCGAUUCUAAUGGGUAGCGAUGCAAGUAAGAGGAAUCAAAGGUGGAAAUGCGGUUACCACAAAGAGAGAAGGAAUAGAAUUGAGGAUGGUCUUCCUGCUGGCACUAUUCGACCGGGAUAAGGUAGAGGCAGACAAUGCCACAAAGGAUGACCUCCCCGAUGUCACUAUUCACAUGAUCGAGGUUUCCAUUGACCUGAGCUGGAGAAUAAGAUACGGGGGCAGAUCCAGAUAGUCAAACAAAUGCCCAAGGUUUUCUCGGUCCAACUAGUGGCAAAUAAACCAAAGAAAAGCUCGUCUGAGACAAGAAGCAUUACCCUUACCAGGGUAGAUCUGGAAUGAGAUCAACACCCUCACAACGAUCUAAUGGUCAUCCAACUAUGGAUUCACAACUACAAUGUCAAAUGAAUCUUGGUAGAUUCUGGCAGCUCGGUGAAGAUGAUGUGUUAUGAUCUAUUCAAACAACUCAAUUUAACUUAGGCUAAUCUAAAGCCCGUUUGAGAUCCCUAAGUUAGGUUCAACGCUUAAGUUCAAGCCUAUAUGAAAAGCCCUACUCGAGGCCAUAUUUGUUGUAUGUUUAUCCAAGCCUAGUAAAAAACAUUUUGGUUGAGAUUCACUAGAGAGUUUGGAAACUACAUUCUGGGGAAGAUUGUUGAUGCGUUGAACUCUAUCACAAGGGUAUUGGUGACCUUAUAUGUAGAAAGAUGCCCAAUUAUAUGUCUACAAAUGUGUGAAAUGUUAACUAUUUUCCCACAUCCAUCAGCCAGCUCGAGAAUUAGCCCCGUUAACCAGUUCAUGGCCCUUCGCUUAGUGGGGGACGAACAUAAUGGGGGUACUUCCUCGAGCUCUAGGAAACAAGAAUUUUGUCAUAGCUGUGACAAAUUAUAUUGACAAAAUGGGUAAAAGCUAAACCAUUAGCCUAGAUCAAAGAAAUUGACAUGAAGAAUUCAUAAACGACAUCCUAUCUAGGUCUGGCAUCUCUAGAACUUUGGUGUCAGAUAAUCGAACCCAAUUUGUAGGACAAAAUGUUAAAAAUAUGUUGGAUGAGCUUAAAAUUGAAUUUUGUAACUGGCUACCCACAGUUCAAUGGGCAGGCAGAGAAAUCCAACAAAACAAUCAGGAAUGGAAUCAAGAAAAGACUUGAAAAAGCUAAAAACAAAUGGGUCGAGGAGUUGCCAAGCUGGAUGUGGGCUUAUCGAACUACACUAGAGAACGCAACAAACAAAAUAUAUUUCUCUUUG